AAAACAACACUUGCAUAGAUAUUAAUAUUAUACAAUAUCUGACUCUCGCCCCACAAGUCCAGGGUCGAUCGUCUAACUUACAUCCAAACUACUAAUAUGAUUACAUAUAAACAGGGUUGAAACCAAAAAGAAACAACUACAGCUCGAGUCCCUACUAUUCUUCGUUGUCUGGCAGCUUCAGCUGGAGUGAUGCGCCUUUCCCUUAUCCGAGCUCGCACCCGCUUCCGAGCGGUUAACUUGAUUCGCGCCAUACUCGCUUUUUACUGCUAGUUGAUAAAACAUAGAUGCAAGAAUGAGCACUUACAUGCUCAGCAAGCUCACAUAAUUGUAGAUAGCAUUUAACAAUUUAUGCAUUUAGGGCACUGAAUACAGUUUAAAUCAACAAAGCAUCAAAUACCAGAACAAGUUUUAAAUCAAAGAAUUUGCUGGUCUUCCAACCUCUCGAUAUCACUACAUGGUCCGAUCAAAUACCAUUUCGUGAAUAUCAUUCUCCUGUGUAGUCCCAGUGGUCUGAUCGUCACCACUAGAGACACACCAACACUCUCUUUGCUAGCAUCAGGGUUUAACACUGGAACCCUACUAUCUGCCUUACCAGAUAGUAACUUUCCUCUUCACCACGAAUUUAAUAAAUUCGUGUUGACCAGCCGAACAAGAAUUCUCCGAGUAGAAAGAACAUUCUCCGAACAAACUCUUCUGAUUUAUCAAUCAAUCACUAUUAACCAGAAGAUGUGAACAAUACAUCUUCUAUCAGAAACAAAUCCUUAACCAAUCAAUUAAUCAUUGUCAAUUAGAAGAUAUGAACAAUACAUCUUCUAUUAGAAAUAAAUCUUUAACCAUUCCUGGACAAAAGGAAGGUUGAAUUACGUAAUCAAUUUUAGGAGUUCACUUUAAUGAUUUAUAACUUAUAUUGGAGCGAAGGACAUAGUCGAGGUAUUUAAAAUAUUAUUUGAUCAAACAAUUAAGGUAACUAAACAACUUAAAUAGAGAUAAGGAUAGUGAACUUGCCUCGAGUCCUUAGCUUUGGGAAUUCCGAAAUUAUAUAAUUUUGCUUCGUCCUUUCCAGACAAUAUAUAUAUUCUAUGACACAUAAAAUAAUAAUUUAAUAACGUCAACUUUUAACAACUUAAAAGAGUUAAUUAUAUACUAUCUAUUAAUUCACGUCUAAUUAGUUUAGUCUCUUUAAUCAAUUAAUCAAUCACUUUCCUUGACCAAACUUUAUAUCUUUAAUUCCAUAGAAUAUUUUUAAAAUGGAUAGUAAUCAAUCCUCAUUUGUUAUUCUUCCUUCCCCAAUCUACUCAUCAAAAUUUCCAACUCAACCUUAAUUAUUCAUUCAUUGCUAAAUUAAUACUUAAUGACCUUCCCGUAAUAAACUCUUUAUACAUCACUUUUAUAAAGGUUUAGUUAAGAAAUGAGAGAUCCUGUCGUGCAUGUUUUGUCCAACUGCUGCAGGCUCACUUAUCAUCUAUUCAACUAAUUUCAAAAAUGAUUAUUUAAUACUAAAAUUACCUCUUCACCACGAAUUUAAUAAAUUCGUGUUGACCAGCCGAACAAGAAUUCUCCGAGUAGAAAGAACAUUCUCCGAACAAACUCUUCUGAUUUAUCAAUCAAUCACUAUUAACCAGAAGAUGUGAACAAUACAUCUUCUAUCAGAAACAAAUCCUUAACCAAUCAAUUAAUCAUUGUCAAUUAGAAGAUGUGAUCAAUACAUCUUCUAUUAGAAAUAAAUCUUUAACCAUUCCUGGACAAAAGGAAGGUUGAAUUACGUAAUCAAUUUUAGGAGUUCACUUUAAUGAUUUAUAACUUAUAUUGGAGCGAAGGACAUAGUCGAGGUAUUUAAAAUAUUAUUUGAUCAAACAAUUAAGGUAACUAAACAACUUAAAUAGAGAUAAGGAUAGUGAACUUGCCUCGAGUCCUUAGCUUUGGGAAUUCCGAAAUUAUAUAAUUUUGCUUCGUCCUUUCCAGACAAUAUAUAUAUUCUAUGACACAUAAAAUAAUAAUUUAAUAACGUCAACUUUUAACAACUUAAAAGAGUUAAUUAUAUACUAUCUAUUAAUUCACGUCUAAUUAGUUUAGUCUCUUUAAUCAAUUAAUCAAUCACUUUCCUUGACCAAACUUUAUAUCUUUAAUUCCAUAGAAUAUUUUUAAAAUGGAUAGUAAUCAAUCCUCAUUUGUUAUUCUUCCUUCCCCAAUCUACUCAUCAAAAUUUCCAACUCAACCUUAAUUAUUCAUUCAUUGCUAAAUUAAUACUUAAUGACCUUCCCGUAAUAAACUCUUUAUACAUCACUUUUAUAAAGGUUUAGUUAAGAAAUGAGAGAUCCUGUCGUGCAUGUUUUGUCCAACUGCUGCAGGCUCACUUAUCAUCUAUUCAACUAAUUUCAAAAAUGAUUAUUUAAUACUAAAAUUAACCUUACCAUUAUUAUAUUCUCAACUUCUGAUCCUUUUUCAUUUUAUUCUAACUAUCUAUCAAUGUCCCCAUCAAUUACCUUUAUGCAUCAUUUUAUUCAUGCUACUCCAUUUAUUAAUAUUCCCCUUUAUAUUUAUUUAAUAAUUCUCAUUUCCCUUAUUAUAUUAUAUAUUAGCACCAAUCCUCAUUACUAAACAUUAGUAUUAUACACAUUUUAGUUUUUAUUUUAUCAUCCCAACAUACUCUUAUUUUAUCAAUAUUAUUUUAAUUUUUAUUAUUUAGAUUUUUUUUUCACUAUGGAGGUUAUGGUUUUACCCUGCAGUACCUCUCCCCUCAUCUACUCUUUUCCCCCUGGUCACCACUGUCACCACCGUUCGCCGGAAGUCGGCUCCGGCGGUGGUCUACCGCCACAAAAUCUCUCUCUCUCUCUCUCUCUCCCAAAUUCCCGCCGCCAUCUCCUUCCUCGACCCACACCUGUCAAUCGAACCCAUCUCACUACUUCCUCCCUCCGGUCACCGGCGAAUCUCUCCUUACAACCCAAUCAAUCCACCCCUUUUUAAAAAGUCGAAGCUCCUCUCCUUCACACAUCCAAAUCAAUUAGUUACAAACUUAUUAUAAAGUUUUAGUUUAGGUCUGUAUAAUAUGUACUGUUAAUGGAUACAAAUCCCCAAGAGUAUACAUAUAAUUAAACAUAUGAUUAUAAUAAUAUUUUCCUUAUUCAAUUAGAGAAGGAAGGGAAUUACCUUGAUGUUUUUAAAAGGUACUGAACAAGCUGCUUCUUCCCUAAAUUACUCCCUUAACUAAAGCUUU
rnacentral:lncRNA from 1 species